CAUUUUCGUUCCAUCCUUCUAUUUUUUUUUUAUCCUCACGGAUUAUUCCGGCCCAGGUNGUAGGUUUCGAAACGAGCUUUCCGAACAGUAUUCACGGGCCUUGUGAAUCCAUCGGGAUCGAAAGUUAGGCACGUGAANGUAGAGACGCGCGAAUUCCGAUUACCAUGCAAUUUUCAUUUUCGUAUUUUGUCGUACGUGAGUAGUACUCCGUUAAUUGAGUCGGGGUCGGGAAAUUGCGUGAAUUGAGUCUCUUAAAAGUCGGAGGUUGGAC
rnacentral:misc_RNA from 1 species